CAGAUUAACGGGAUUGAGUAUUUCUACACCGAUGAGUAUGGCAACAGCGAUGUGUUUGUGAUUGUGACGACCCAGAGUGGACAGUUUUAUAUUUAUGAAUAUAUGUUUGCCGGGAAAUUCCAAAUGAAAAUGCAACACGCUGUGAAUGGCUUACGAACGAUGAUGCCAUUCUACCACAUGAACAAUCAUUAUAUUUUGGCUGGCACAGACGACGAUAACAUAAUUUUCCGCAUUAUAAAACAGGGUCCACAUUAAUGCAAAAAAAAAUAGAAAUCGGCAUAAAAAUUUGAAUUUUAUAUAUAUCUAUGCAUAUUAAUAAGUAUUUAUUAUAAAUCGAUAUAGCAAAUCACUCACGAAGCACAUUC